UACGUAGGGUCCGAGCGUUGUCCGGAAUCAUUGGGCGUAAAGAGCGUGUAGGCGGCUUGGUAGGUCCCGUGUUAAAGCCUGCGGCUCAACCGCAGAAUCGCACGGGAAACCAUCUGGCUAGAGUCCGGAAGAGGAGAGCGGAAUUCCUGGUGUAGCGGUGAAAUGCGCAGAUAUCAGGAAGAACACCCGUGGCGAAGGCGGCUCUCUGGGACGGUACUGACGCUGAGACGCGAAAGCGUGGGGAGCGAACAGG
rnacentral:rRNA from 1 species